AAGAAAAACGCCAUCGGCAACUUACUUGGAGAAGGAUGCGCACUGGAACGUCGAGCAACCAAACCGACGACGUUGAUGCGUCACACGGCGGCAGCAGAAGAAGAAGAAGAAAAGAAGAAGAAGGGUUUGCCUUUACCGCACGGAGGCCGCGAUGACCCUGCGGACCGUGUUGUCGUCCGAACAAGCUCUCCUCGCUUCCUCAGAACCCGACGACCCAGAGGAUGUCGUCGUAGCGAACCAGAGGAGCUACUUGAAUCGCACGGGCAUCCCAUCAUGUGCACACACACACAAUGGAAAUGGAAUUUCGAAUAAACAGGCAGGCUUGUAGAUAUGCCAUUGGAGGUACUCUGCUGUUGAAGUGCAAUUUUUUUUCUUGCCUAACAAAAGAUUUAUCAAAGCAUUUGUGACUGAUGGAUAACUGCAGCCAAAAAGUCUCAAGCAGAUGGCGUGUCGAUCGCACAUCACAUACUUGACGAAGAGUCUCCUGCACAGUGCAGCAAAGAUGGCCAUUAAAAAUGUUGCUAAAAUGACGAGGCUCCACCAGUCUGCACGGUUAUGCAAAAAAAAAGACAUUUUCCAUUUGCUCUCAGGCUUGUUUUCUCUUUUGUUUCUUGGGAAAUAAGGAUGCACAUGACGAGCAUUA